GGGAUAACUUCGGGAAACCGGAGCUAAUACCGGAUACGUUCUUUUCUCGCAUGAGAGAAGAUGGAAAGACGGUUUACGCUGUCACUUAUAGAUGGGCCCGCGGCGCAUUAGCUAGUUGGUGAGGUAAUGGCUCACCAAGGCGACGAUGCGUAGCCGACCUGAGAGGGUGAUCGGCCACACUGGGACUGAGACACGGCCCAGACUCCUACGGGAGGCAGCAGUAGGGAAUCUUCCGCAAUGGACGAAAGUCUGACGGAGCAACGCCGCGUGAACGAAGAAGGCCUUCGGGUCGUAAAGUUCUGUUGUUAGGGAAGAACAAGUACCAGAGUAACUGCUGGUACCUUGACGGUACCUAACCAGAAAGCCACGGCUAA
rnacentral:rRNA from 1 species